GGCUCAGGAUGAACGCUAGCGGCAGGCUUAACACAUGCAAGUCGAGGGGCAGCAUGACGGAACCUUCGGGUUUCAUUGAUGGCGACCGGCGCAAGGGUGCGUAACGCGUGAGCAACUUGCCCUUAUCAGGGGGAUAACCGGUGGAAACGCCGACUAAUACCCCAUAGUAUCACUUUAAGGCAUCUUUAGUGAUUAAAGAAAUUCGGAUAAGGAUAGGCUCGCGUGACAUUAGCUAGAUGGCGGGGUAACGGCCCACCAUGGCGACGAUGUCUAGGGGUUCUGAGAGGAAGGUCCCCCACACUGGAACUGAGACACGGUCCAGACUCCUACGGGAGGCAGCAGUGAGGAAUAUUGGUCAAUGGCCGAGAGGCUGAACCAGCCAUGCCGCGUGAAGGUCACGGCCCUAUGGGUCUUAAACUUCUUUUGUAAGGGAGCAAUAAGGUCUACGUGUAGACUGAUGAGAGUACCUUACGAAUAAGCAUCGGCUAACUCCGUG
rnacentral:rRNA from 1 species